UCCUCGUUAGUAUAGUGGUGAGUAUCCCCGCCUGUCACGCGGGAGACCGGGGUUCGAUUUCCCCGACGGGGAG
rfam:Ciona savignyi cont_24202, whole genome shotgun sequence.